rnacentral:rRNA from 1 species
AUGAACGCUAGCGGCAGGCUUAACACAUGCAAGUCGAGGGGCAGCAUGAGACGGAGAUUCGUCGAAGUCUUGAUGGCGACCGGCGCAAGGGUGCGUAACGCGUGAGCAACUUGCCCGUUUCAGGGGGAUAACCGGUGGAAACGCCGACUAAUACCCCAUAGUAUUGAGUUUAGGCAUCUUUACUCAAUUAAAGAAUUUCGGAAACGGAUAGGCUCGCGUGACAUUAGCUAGAUGGCGGGGUAACGGCCCACCAUGGCGACGAUGUCUAGGGGUUCUGAGAGGAAGGUCCCCCACACUGGAACUGAGACACGGUCCAGACUCCUACGGGAGGCAGCAGUGAGGAAUAUUGGUCAAUGGUCUGACGACUGAACCAGCCAUGCCGCGUGAAGGUCACGGCCCUAUGGGUCUUAAACUUCUUUUGCGAGGGAGCAAUAAGGCGCACGUGUGCGUCGAUGAGAGUACCUUGCGAAUAAGCAUCGGCUAACUCCGUG